rnacentral:tRNA from 1 species
GGUCGCAUGGUGUAGUUGGUUAUCACGUCAGUCUAACACACUGAAGGUCCGCAGAUCGAGCCUGCGUGUGAUCA